rnacentral:rRNA from 1 species
UACGUAGGGUGCAAGCGUUAAUCGGAAUUACUGGGCGUAAAGCGUGCGCAGGCGGCUUUGCAAGACAGAUGUGAAAUCCCCGGGCUCAACCUGGGAACUGCAUUUGUGACUGCAAGGCUAGAGUACGGUAGAGGGGGAUGGAAUUCCGCGUGUAGCAGUGAAAUGCGUAGAGAUGCGGCGGAACACCGAUGGCGAAGGCAGCCCCCUGGGCUGAGAUUGACGCUCAGGCACGAAAGCGUGGGGAGCAAACAGG